GAUGAACGCUGGCGGCGUGCCUAAUACAUGCAAGUAGAACGCUGAAGGAGGAGCUUGCUCUUCUGGAUGAGUUGCGAACGGGUGAGUAACGCGUAGGUAACCUGCCUGGUAGCGGGGGAUAACUAUUGGAAACGAUAGCUAAUACCGCAUGACAACAGUUAUUGCAUGAUAACUGUUUAAAAGGGGCAACUGCUCCACUACCAGAUGGACCUGCGUUGUAUUAGCUAGUUGGUGAGGUAACGGCUCACCAAGGCGACGAUACAUAGCCGACCUGAGAGGGUGAUCGGCCACACUGGGACUGAGACGCGGCCCAGACUCCUACGGGAGGCAGCAGUAGGGAAUCUUCGGCAAUGGACGGAAGUCUGACCGAGCAACGCCGCGUGAGUGAAGAAGGGUUUCGGAUCGUAAAGCUCGGUUGUAAGAGAAGAACGAGUGUGAGAGUGGAAAGUUCACACUGUGACGGUAUCUUACCAGAAAGGGACGGCUAACUACGUG
rnacentral:rRNA from 1 species